rnacentral:rRNA from 1 species
GGCGGCGCGCCUAACACAUGCAAGUCGAACGAGCGAGAGAGAGCUUGCUUUCUCGAGCGAGUGGCGAACGGGUGAGUAACGCGUGAGGAACCUGCCUCAAAGAGGGGGACAACAGUUGGAAACGACUGCUAAUACCGCAUAAGCCCACGGCUCGGCAUCGAGCAGAGGGAAAAGGAGCAAUCCGCUUUGAGAUGGCCUCGCGUCCGAUUAGCUAGUUGGUGAGGUAACGGCCCACCAAGGCAACGAUCGGUAGCCGGACUGAGAGGUUGAACGGCCACAUUGGGACUGAGACACGGCCCAGACUCCUACGGGAGGCAGCAGUGGGGAAUAUUGCACAAUGGGGGAAACCCUGAUGCAGCGACGCCGCGUGGAGGAAGAAGGUCUUCGGAUUGUAAACUCCUGUUGUUGAGGAAGAUAAUGACGGUACUCAACAAGGAAGUGACGGCUAACUACGUGCCAGCAGCCGCGGUAAAACGUAGGUCACAAGCGUUGUCCGGAAUUACUGGGUGUAAAGGGAGCGCAGGCGGGAAGACAAGUUGGAAGUGAAAUCUAUGGGCUCAACCCAUAAACUGCUUUCAAAACUGUUUUUCUUGAGUAGUGCAGAGGUAGGCGGAAUUCCCGGUGUAGCGGUGGAAUGCGUAGAUAUCGGGAGGAACACCAGUGGCGAAGGCGGCCUACUGGGCACCAACUGACGCUGAGGCUCGAAAGUGUGGGUAGCAAACAGGAUUAGAUACCCUGGUAGUCCACACCGUAAACGAUGAUUAAUGGGUGUUGGAGGAUUGACCCCUUCAGUGCCGCAGUUAACACAAUAA